AUAGUAUAUUAUAACCACGUGUUAAACUGCUUUGUAAGCUAUUGCCUGAAUUUUGUAGUAAUUCAAUUUUUAAUGUUAAUUGUCUACAAAAAGUUUUUGAAGAAUCGCUGAUUUAACAAGCUUCAUUAUUCAUAGAAGAAAUAAAAGGACUGUAUCGAAUGUUAAUGAAAAGUGGAUGGUGUGACAAGUAAAGCAUUGGAUUCAUUAGUGAAGAUAUACAGAGGAGAGAGAGGGAGAUGAAAGAUGGAGACCCAU